rfam:Triticum aestivum genome assembly, contig: Triticum_aestivum_CS42_TGACv1_scaffold_306328_4AS
CACCUACUCCCUCCGUUCCAAAUUACUCGUUGCCGAAAUAGAAGUAUCUAGAACUAAAAUACAUAUAGAUAUAUCCAUACCUGUGACAAGUAAUUCGGAACGGAGGGAGUAGAUG